GAUGAACGCUGGCGGCGUGCCUAAUACAUGCAAGUCGAGCGAACAGACGAGGAGCUUGCUCCUCUGACGUUAGCGGCGGACGGGUGAGUAACACGUGGAUAACCUACCUAUAAGACUGGGAUAACUUCGGGAAACCGGAGCUAAUACCGGAUAAUAUAUUGAACCGCAUGGUUCAAUAGUGAAAGACGGUUUUGCUGUCAUUUAUAGAUGGAUCCGCGCCGCAUUAGCUAGUUGGUAAGGUAACGGCUUACCAAGGCAACGAUGCGUAGCCGACCUGAGAGGGUGAUCGGCCACACUGGAACUGAGACACGGUCCAGACUCCUACGGGAGGCAGCAGUAGGGAAUCUUCCGCAAUGGGCGAAAGCUUGACGGAGCAACGCCGCGUGAGUGAUGAAGGUCUUCGGAUCGUAAAACUCUGUUAUUAGGGAAGAACAAAUGUGUAAGUAACUAUGCACGUCUUGACGGUACCGAAUCAGAAAGCCACGGCUAACUACGUG
rnacentral:rRNA from 1 species